UACGUAGGGUGCGAGCGUUGUCCGGAAUUAUUGGGCGUAAAGAGCUCGUAGGCGGUUUGUCGCGUCGGAUGUGAAAGCCCGGGGCUUAACCCCGGGUCUGCAUUCGAUACGGGCAGACUGGAGUGUGGUAGGGGAGAUCGGAAUUCCUGGUGUAGCGGUGAAAUGCGCAGAUAUCAGGAGGAACACCGGUGGCGAAGGCGGAUCUCUGGGCCAUUACUGACGCUGAGGAGCGAAAGCGUGGGGAGCGAACAGG
rnacentral:rRNA from 1 species